rnacentral:rRNA from 1 species
CUGGGAUUAGAUACCCCACUAUGCUUAGCCCUAAACACAGAUAAGGUCUUACCUUUGACUUAUCCGCCCGGGUACUACGAGCGCUAGCUUCAAACCCAAAGGACUUGGCGGUGCUUCAAACCCGUCUAGAGGAGCCUGUCCUAUAACCGAUGGUCCCCGUUUAACCUCACCCCCCCUCGUCCCCUAUCCGCCUAUAUACCGCCGUCGCAAGCUUACCCUGUGAAGGAGCUACAGUAAGCCCAAUUGGCAUACCCUAAAACGUCAGGUCGAGGUGUAGCUUAUGGGGGGGGAAGAGAUGGGCUACAUUCCCUAAUACAGGGCACACGAACGAUGACUUGAAAUAUACAUUUGAAGUUGGAUUUAGUAGUAAGCAGAGAAUAGAGCGCCCUGCUGAAACCGGCAAUGAAGCGCGUACACACCGCCCGUC